ensembl:piRNA 21ur-5435 ncRNA
UUUAGUGCAUACAAUGGAGAA